rnacentral:rRNA from 1 species
CAGCCGCCGCGGGAAUACGUAGGUGGCAAGCGUUGUCCGGAAUUAUUGGGCGUAAAGGGCUCGCAGGCGGUUUCUUAAGUCUGAUGUGAAAGCUCCCGGCUCAACCGGGGAGGGUCAUUGGAAACUGGGAAACUUGAGUGCAGAAGAGGAGAGUGGAAUUCCACGUGUAGCGGUGAAAUGCGUAGAGAUGUGGAGGAACACCAGUGGCGAAGGCGACUCUCUGGUCUGUAACUGACGCUGAGGAGCGAAAGCGUGGGGAGCGAACAGGAUUAGAGACCCGCGUAGUCCCUGUCUCUUAUAC